UCGGAUUGUAGCUGCAACCCGACUACAUGAAGCCGGAAUCGCUAGUAAUCGCGGAUCAGAGUGCCGCGGUGAAUACGUUCCCGGGUCUUGUACACACCGCCCGUCACACCAUGGGAGCCUGGAAUGCCCGAAGCCGGUGGCCGAACCGAGGGGGCGGAGCCGCCUAAGGCAGGCCCGGUGACUGGGGUGAAGUCGUAACAAGGUACC
rnacentral:rRNA from 1 species